CCAGUCAAGCGAGCACACUGUACGUACGAUAUCGUUUUAACGAUGUUCACAACAUAUUAUAGUAUCGUUUUAUUUAUUAAUUUCUUUUUUUCAAUUUUUCUAUAAUUGUGAACGUACCGUUGGAAGUGAAAUUUUCGUUCAACAGUGAACAAGAUUAAAACGAAGGGACAUAGUUAAUUUGGGUCAAGGGUAAUCGAUGGAGGACGUAAAAUUUUCAACGUUCAACCAUAAACUCGUGACGUUUCAAGCAUAAGGGACUGUCAUCCACGAUGUUAGAGCAUAACGACAGUAUAAUGACACGCAGAAAGCCCCUACUACGAACAAAAGAAGAAGAA